UACGUAGGGGGCAAGCGUUGUCCGGAUUUAUUGGGCGUAAAGAGCGUGUAGGCGGCCAUACAGGUCCGUUGUGAAAACUGGAGGCUUAACCUCCAGACGUCGAUGGAAACCGUAUGGCUAGAGUCCGGAAGAGGAGAGUGGAAUUCCUGGUGUAGCGGUGAAAUGCGUAGAUAUCUGGAGGAACACCGGUGGCGAAGGCGGCAUCCUCGGACCGACACUGACGCGUGAGGAG
rnacentral:rRNA from 1 species